ensembl:lncRNA
CCGCACCGCACUGUUGCAGACAGUCACAGAAAGAUCGCACAACAUGAGCAGACGCAGUAUGGGUGUUGAUUGUCCAUCUGAACCUCCUGACUGAAGAGAAGCUUGCCAGUUUCUACGAUGUCUUCCCUGUAAAGGCCACAGCUGUGUGGAAAAAAACCUUCUCUACCCAUUAAUUGCCAAUGACAAAGGCAGAGAAUGUAAGAACUACAGUCAUUAGAUUCCAUUGAUGGCUUCAUUUUGGGGCACAUGUAUUCAGUGACUGGCUUGUUCCUCGGAAGUGAUGCAGCUUGAGAAGAGCUAAUUUUAUUUCCAUGUUUGGAGAAUGUAAAAUGAGUGGGGGAGUUUCUUUUGUAAACCAUGUUUAUGUAAUGCACAAUUUUGAAAGUUAUGCAUUGAUUGUUACCAAUAAAGAAAGAUACUUACUUGAAGUGUUUUUUUUUUUUUCUUUUUUUUUUCUGCUCCUAACAUUGAGUCAUGGAUCAUGAUCCAUGUUACCAGGAAAUUACUGUCUUAGCCAUGGUUAAUCUGUAUUUAGCAUGGGUUCUAUGCAUUUUAUUUCCUUGGAAGAAGAAACUUCAAUUAAGACUGAUCUGUUUAAAUGGUUGGCAGUUUAACUGUUGAUGCUUUUGCUUUCAUCUAAAGGGGAGGUUAGUAAAUCAAAUCUGUUUAUAGUUGGAUCACUAUUUGUCUCCAUGUAAGUCUAAGACAAAGUGGUGUGUUUUCAAAAUUCAAGGCACAUUUGGGGUAAGUGUCUUAAACUUUUUCUGUGAAGCUGCGUUGUAACGAUCAUGAAAUGCAUUAUAUAAAGUGUAUUUAAUUGAAAU